GUCCACACGACGGCGAGUAGUACUACUAGUGUACGCGGAAAAUGAUUUGACUGUUCUCUAUUCCCUCGCCCUCUCUUCUCCCAGACGGCCAGACGACGCCACCGUCACGCCCCACCACCACCAACCUAUCCCCCACCGCGUCACGCGCCUCCACCUCCCCAGAUCGGCGGCGAACCGGGGGGCCCGGACAGGCGGCGGAGAGCUCGAGGCGUCAUGGCGAAGUCGAGCGCGGACGACGCCGAGCUGCGGCGCGCGUGCGCCGCGGCCGUGGCGGCGUCAGGCGCGCGCGGGGAGGAGGUGGCCUUCUCCAUCCGCGUCGCCAAGGGCCGCGGCAUCUUCGAGAAGCUCGGCAGGCUCGCCAAGCCCCGUGUCCUCGCUCUCACCGUUAAACAAUCAUCAAGAGGCGAGGCGAACAAAGCUUUUCUUCGAGUAUUAAAAUAUUCAUCUGGGGCAGUGCUCGAGCCAGCCAAACUUUACAAGCUGAAACAUCUAACAAAGGUUGAGGUUAUUUCCAAUGAUCCCAGUGGUUGUACAUUUGUUCUGGGAUUUGAUAACCUUAGGAGUCAGAGUGUUGCCCCACCACAAUGGACGAUGCGUAACAUUGAUGACAGAAAUCGUCUACUUUUUUGUAUUCUGAAUAUGUGCAAGGAGAUACUCAGUUAUCUUCCAAAAGUUGUUGGAAUUGAUAUUGUGGAGCUAGCUCUUUGGGCAAAGGAAAACACACUGACCAUAGAUAAUCAAGUGAGUACCCAAGAUGGUCAAGAAACAUCAGUUGCUACUCAAACCGAGAGGAAAGUAACAGUAACUGUUGAAAAUGAUCUCGUGUCCCAAGCAAAAGAGGAGGAAGAAGACAUGGAGGCACUUCUUGACACGUAUGUUAUGGGAAUAGGUGAAGCAGAUGCAUUCUCUGAGAGAUUGAAGCAGGAGCUUGUGGCUUUGGAGGCUGCAAAUGUAUAUCAAUUACUGGAAAGCGAGCCUUUAAUAGAAGAGGUCUUGCAGGGUCUGGAUGCUGCUAGUGCAACUGUAGAUGAUAUGGAUGAGUGGCUACGGAUUUUCAAUCUGAAGCUGAGGCACAUGAGAGAAGAUAUUGCAUCGAUUGAAUCACGUAACAAUGGCUUGGAGAUGCAGUCUGUAAAUAACAAAGGGCUUAUGGAAGAGCUAGAUAAAUUGCUUGAGCGUCUGCGGAUUCCACAGGAGUUUGCAGCAUCAUUAACUGGAGGCUCAUUUGAAGAGUCACGGAUGCUGAAAAAUGUUGAGGCAUGUGAAUGGUUGACAGGGGCCAUUCGCAGUCUUGAAGUUCCUAAUUUGGACCCAUGCUAUGUCAACAUGCGCGCUGUUAGAGAGAAAAAGGCAGAGCUGGAGAAACUGAAAACAACUUUUGUUCGACGAGCAUCAGAGUUUUUGCGGAACUACUUCUCCAGUUUGGUAGACUUCAUGAUCAGUGACAAAAGCUACUUUUCACAGCGUGGACAAUUGAAGCGGCCUGAUCAUGCAGACCUUAGGUAUAAAUGCAGGACAUAUGCCCGACUUCUGCAGCACUUAAAGAGUCUGGACAAGAGCUGCUUAGGUCCCUUAAGGAAGGCAUACUGUCAUUCCCUUAAUUUACUACUACGACGAGAGGCACGCGAAUUUGCCAAUGAACUUCGUGCAAGUACAAAAGCACCGAAGAAUCCUGCUGUUUGGCUUGAAGGUUCUGGCGGCUCUGGUCAUAAUGGAAGCAGUUCUGAUACUUCACAGGUCUCAGAUGCAUACUCAAAGAUGCUUACAAUAUUUAUCCCGCUUCUUGUGGACGAGAGUUCCUUUUUUGCACAUUUUAUGUGCUUUGAAGUACCUGCACUUGUUCCAGCUGGUUCUCCUAAUGCUAAUAAGAGCAAAUCCGGAGGAAAUGACCCGGAUGAUGAUCUGGGUCUUAUGGAUCCAGAUGGCAACGAUCUGAAACCUGACAGUACCUCUGCUGAACUGGGUACAUUGAAUGAAGCUCUUCAAGAAUUACUCGAUGGAAUCCAGGAAGACUUCUAUGCGGUCGUAGAUUGGGCUUAUAAAAUUGACCCCUUGCGUUGCAUCUCAAUGCAUGGGAUUACAGAGCGUUACCUUUCUGGACAGAAAGCUGAUGCUGCAGGAUUUGUUCGCAAACUACUUGAUGACUUGGAAUCAAGAAUAUCAGUACAGUUCAGCCGGUUUAUUGAUGAAGCAUGCCAUCAAAUUGAGCGUAACGAAAGAAAUGUGCGGCAAACUGGAAUUCUAGCCUACAUUCCAAGAUUUGCUGUCCUUGCAUCACGUAUGGAACAAUAUAUCCAAGGACAAUCCAGGGAUUUAAUUGAUAAAGCAUACACAAAGCUAGUUAGCACAAUGUUCGCAACUUUGGAGAAAAUUGCACAGAGUGAUCCUAAAACUGCUGAUAUUGUGUUGAUUGAGAAUUAUGCUGCUUUCCAGAACAGUCUUUAUGACUUGGCUAAUGUUGUGCCAACGCUUGCAAAGUUCUACCAUCAAGCCAGUGAAUCAUAUGAACUAGCUUGCACUCGCCAUAUCAGCUCACUCAUUUAUCUGCAAUUUGAGAGGUUAUUUCAAUUCAACCGGAAAGUUGACGAAUUGACUUACACUAUUGCUGCUGAGGAGAUACCGUUUCAGCUGGGAUUAUCAAAAACUGACCUAAGGAGGGUACUGAAAUCCAGCUUAUCUGGGAGGCUCGUUCAUCCCACGGUGUCACCAUGAGAACUGACACAGUGUAAAACUGUGCAGAUUGAUAAGUCAAUUAGCGCCAUGUACAGGAGGUUGCAAAAGACACUGACCUCCGACGAGUUGUUUCCUUCGCUGUGGGACAAGUGCAAGAAGGAGUUUUUGGACAAAUACGAGAGCUUUGUUCAGAUGGUAACACGGAUAUAUGGGAAUGAGCCGAUCAUGUCAGUCAACGAAAUGAAAGACGUCCUUGCUGGUUUUUAGAUACAAGUACACAGCACCAUGUAUGAUUUCAGAGAAAUAGCUAUGUAUUCCAUUCAUUCCAUUGAAUUCUGCACCCACUUGCGUUACUGUGUUAGGCGCCCUUUUUGGGUUAUGUGUGUGUAUGUGGAUGUCCUCUGUAUAGAAGUGAACGCGGCAUGCUUCCCCUAAUGAUGUUCCUGUGUCGCAUCGAGCCGUCAGUGACAAUGCAAACUGCAAACCCGGAGUACCGGAAGGAACAUGUUCAUGUUUAUGACGUCAUUUGUCCAAUUGCCGUUCCAUUCA